rnacentral:rRNA from 1 species
UACGUAGGUGGCAAGCGUUGUCCGGAUUUACUGGGCGUAAAGAGCGCGCAGGCGGUCGUUCAAGUCGCGUGUGAAAGCCCCCGGCUCAACCGGGGAAUUGCGUCCUAAACUGGAUAGCUCGAGUGAGAUAGAGGUGUGCGGAACUUCCGGUGGAGCGGUGAAAUGUGUUGAUAUCGGAAGGAACGCCGGUGGCGAAAGCGGCACACUGGGUCUCAACUGACGCUGAGGCACGAAAGCCAGGGGAGCGAACGGG